CAGUCGCCGCGGGAAUACGGAGGGUGCAAGCGUUAAUCGGAAUUACUGGGCGUAAAGCGCACGCAGGCGGUCUGUCAAGUCAGAUGUGAAAUCCCCGGGCUUAACCUGGGAACUGCAUUUGAAACUGGCAGGCUAGAGUCUUGUAGAGGGGGGUAGAAUUCCAGGUGUAGCGGUGAAAUGCGUAGAGAUCUGGAGGAAUACCGGUGGCGAAGGCGGCCCCCUGGGCAAAGACUGACGCUCAGGUGCGAAAGCAUGGGGAGCAAACAGGAUUAGAUACCCGCGUAGUCCCUGUCUCUUAUAC
rnacentral:rRNA from 1 species